GGUUUGAUCUUCUGGCUCAGAUUGAACGCUGGCGGGAUGCUUUACACAUGCAAGUCGAACGGCAGCACGGACUUCGGUCUGGUGGCGGUGAGUGGCGAACGGGUGAGUGGUACGUAUCGGAACGUGCCUAGUAGCGGGUGAGCAACUACGCUACAGGGGUAGCUAAUACUGCAUACGCCCUUCGGGGGAAAGCGGGGACCUCGGGCCUCGCACCAUUAGAGCGUCGAUAUCGGAUUAGCUAGUUGGUGGGGUAACGGCUCACCAAGGCGAGACUUAUCCGUAGCUGGUUUGAGAGGACGACCAGCCACACUGGGACUGAGACACGGCCCAGACUCGCUGGCGCGGGCAGUGGGGAAUUUUGACAAUGGGGAAACCUCGAUCCAGCCAUCCCGCGCAAAGAUGAAGGCCUUCGGGUUGUAAAGCACUUUGGGUAGAAGAAAUGGCACGGGAUAACACCGUGCAACUGACGGUACCUGCAGACACCGGCUAACUACUGCCAGCAGCCAGUGUACGAUGUAGGGCGGGGCGUUAAUCGGAAUUACUGGGCGUAAGCGCAGCAGGUUCGGAAAGAAAGAUGCGGAACUCAGAGUUUAACUCAACUGCAUUUUUAACUACCGAGCUAGAGUGUCAGAGGGAGGGACCCGCGUGUAUAGCAGUGAAAUGCGUAUUAUGCGGAGGAACACCGAUGGCAGCGCAGCCUCCUGGGAUAACAUCGACGCCAUACGAAAGCGGGAGCAAACAGGAUUAGAUGGCCCUGGUAGUCCACGCCCUAAACGAUGUCAACGCCGUUGGGGGCCUUGGGCCUGUAGCAGCUAACGCGCAGUUACCCGCCUGGGGAGUACGGUCGCAAGAUUUAAACUCGUGCAUGAAUUGAUUGGACCCGCACAAGCGGUGGAUGAUGUGGAUUAAUUCACGCAACGCGAAAACCCGCCCACCUUUGACAUGUUCAACCUGAAGAGAUUUGGGAGUGUCGCAAGAGAACCGGAACACAGGUGCUGCAUGGCUGUCGUCAGCUCGUGUCGUGAGAUGUUGGGUUAAGUCCCGGAAACAGCGCAACCCUUGUCAUUAGUUGCUACGAAAGGGCACUCUAAUGAGACUGCCGGUGACAAACCGAGGAAGGUGGGGAUGACGUCAAGUCCUCAUGGCCCUUAUGGGGGCCACACGUCAUACAAUGGUCGGGACAGAGGGUCGCUAACCCGCGGGAGGGGGAGCAAUCCCAGAAAAACCGAUCGGGAACGGAUCGCAGUCUGCAAUCCUGAUCGGUGAAGUCGGAAUCGCUAGUAAUCGCGGAUCAGCAUGUCGCGGUGAAUACGUUCCCGGGUCUUGUACACACCGCAGUUCGUCACACCAUGGGUAUUGGUUUUACCAGAAGUAGUUAGCCUAACCGUAAGGAGGGCGAUUACCACGGUAGGAUUCAUGAUCAGAAGUCGUAACAAGGUAG
rnacentral:rRNA from 1 species